rnacentral:rRNA from 1 species
ACCUCAGAUCCAGGCGAGACAACCCGCUGAAUUUAAGCAUAUCACUAAGCGGAGGAAAAGAAACCAACAGGGAUUCCCCGAGUAGCUGCGAGCGAAACGGGACCUAGCCCAGCACCGAAUCCCUCGUCCUUGCAGGCGAUCGGGAAAUGUGGUGUAUGGGAGGCAACGUUCUCGGGAGUUUGCGACGGUGCAAGUCCCCCCUGACAGGGGCUUGUCCCAGAGUGGGUGCCAGGCCCGUCUACUGCCGUUGCGCGAC